GGGGGAAAGGAAAGGGUUAGGAGCAGGGGGUAAUGGGCAAUCAGGAUAUGUGGGGUGUGAUUCCUCCCGUAAGGCUUGCGUCAGUCGGUACCCCUGCUGUGUUUCCCGGUGCGUCUCCAUCACGACGGUAACGGGAGAUGUAUAAGAACCAUGGCAUCCACAGCUCCGCAUGCCUGGUUCCGCAUCCUGUCAGGGUAGCAUGUGCUUCUUCUGCUCCCCAAAUAUCUUCUACUCU